rnacentral:rRNA from 1 species
UGGGGAAUUUUGGACAAUGGGGGGAAACCCUGAUCCAGCCAUCCCGCGUGUGCGAUGAAGGCCUUCGGGUUGUAAAGCACUUUUGGCAGGAAAGAAACGUCGCGGGUUAAUACCCCGCGAAACUGACGGUACCUGCAGAAUAAGCACCGGCUAACUACGUGCCAGCAGCCGCGGUAAUACGUAGGGUGCAAGCGUUAAUCGGAAUUACUGGGCGUAAAGCGUGCGCAGGCGGUUCGGAAAGAAAGAUGUGAAAUCCCAGAGCUUAACUUUGGAACUGCAUUUUUAACUACCGGGCUAGAGUGUGUCAGAGGGAGGUGGAAUUCCGCGUGUAGCAGUGAAAUGCGUAGAUAUGCGGAGGAACACCGAUGGCGAAGGCAGCCUCCUGGGAUAACACUGACGCUCAUGCACGAAAGCGUGGGGAGCAAACAGGAUUAGAUACCCUGGUAGUCCACGCCCUAAACGAUGUCAACUAGCUGUUGGGGCCUUCGGGCCUUGGUAGCGCAGCUAACGCGUGAAGUUGACCGCCUGGGGAGU